CUGAGUUAGGGUCUUCUGGGCCCGACCUCCAACCCUUUGUCUACCUUACCACUUGUUGCUUCGGCGAGCCCGUCUCUUGAAAUAUAGGACUGCCGGAGGAUCUAUAACUUCUGGUCCGUGCUCGUCGAUAGCCAUUAUUAAACUCUUGAUUAAAUGUGUCGUCUAAGUAAAAGCACUUAAAUUAAACCA
rnacentral:misc_RNA from 1 species